rnacentral:rRNA from 1 species
GAUGAACGCUGGCGGCGUGCCUAAUACAUGCAAGUCGAGCGAAUGGAUUAAGAGCUUGCUCUUAUGAAGUUAGCGGCGGACGGGUGAGUAACACGUGGGUAACCUGCCCAUAAGACUGGGAUAACUCCGGGAAACCGGGGCUGAUACCGGAUAACAUUUUGAACCGCAUGGUUCGAAAUUGAAAGGCGGCUUCGGCUGUCACUUAUGGAUGGACCCGCGUCGCAUUAGCUAGUUGGUGAGGUAACGGCUCACCAAGGCAACGAUGCGUAGCCGACCUGAGAGGGUUAUCCGCCACACUGGGACAAGGACACGGCCAAGACUCCUACGGGAGGCAGCAGUAGGGAAUCUUCCGCAAUGGACGAAAGUCUGACUGAGAAACGCCGCGUGAGUGAUGAAGGCUUUCGGGUCGUAAAACUCUGUUGUUAGGGAAGAACAAGUGCUAGUUGAAUAAGCUGGCGCCUUGACGGUACCUAACCAGAAAGCCACGGCUAACUACGUGCCAGCAGCCGCCGUAA